rnacentral:rRNA from 1 species
CAGUCGCCGCGGGAAUACGGAGGGUGCAAGCGUUAAUCGGAAUUACUGGGCGUAAAGCGUGCGUAGGCGGUUCGUUAAGUCUGUUGUGAAAGCCCCGGGCUCAACCUGGGAAUGGCAAUGGAUACUGGCGAGCUAGAGUGUGUCAGAGGAUGGUGGAAUUCCCGGUGUAGCGGUGAAAUGCGUAGAGAUCGGGAGGAACAUCAGUGGCGAAGGCGGCCAUCUGGGACAACACUGACGCUGAGGCACGAGAGCGUGGGGAGCAAACAGGAUUAGAUACCCCCGUAGUCCCUGUCUCUUAUAC